UACGGAGGAUCCAAGCGUUAUCCGGAAUCAUUGGGUUUAAAGGGUCCGUAGGCGGUUUAGUAAGUCAGUGGUGAAAGCCCAUCGCUCAACGGUGGAACGGCCAUUGAUACUGCUAGACUUGAAUUAUUAGGAAGUAACUAGAAUAUGUAGUGUAGCGGUGAAAUGCUUAGAGAUUACAUGGAAUACCAAUUGCGAAGGCAGGUUACUACUAAUUGAUUGACGCUGAUGGACGAAAGCGUGGGUAGCGAAC
rnacentral:rRNA from 1 species